UGCUAUACAUGCAGUCGAGCGGACAGAAGGGAGCUUGCUCCCGGAUGUUAGCGGCGGACGGGUGAGUAACACGUGGGUAACCUGCCUGUAAGACUGGGAUAACUCCGGGAAACCGGAGCUAAUACCGGAUAGUUCCUUGAACCGCAUGGUUCAAGGAUGAAAGACGGUUUCGGCUGUCACUUACAGAUGGACCCGCGGCGCAUUAGCUAGUUGGUGAGGUAACGGCUCACCAAGGCGACGAUGCGUAGCCGACCUGAGAGGGUGAUCGGCCACACUGGGACUGAGACACGGCCCAGACUCCUACGGGAGGCAGCAGUAGGGAAUCUUCCGCAAUGGACGAAAGUCUGACGGAGCAACGCCGCGUGAGUGAUGAAGGUUUUCGGAUCGUAAAGCUCUGUUGUUAGGGAAGAACAAGUGCAAGAGUAACUGCUUGCACCUUGACGGUACCUAACCAGAAAGCCACGGCUAACUACGUGCCAGCAGCCGCGGUAAUACGUAGGUGGCAAGCGUUGUCCGGAAUUAUUGGGCGUAAAGGGCUCGCAGGCGGUUUCUUAAGUCUGAUGUGAAAGCCCCCGGCUCAACCGGGGAGGGUCAUUGGAAACUGGGAAACUUGAGUGCAGAAGAGGAGAGUGGAAUUCCACGUGUAGCGGUGAAAUGCGUAGAGAUGUGGAGGAACACCAGUGGCGAAGGCGACUCUCUGGUCUGUAACUGACGCUGAGGAGCGAAAGCGUGGGGAGCGAACAGGAUUAGAUACCCUGGUAGUCCACGCCGUAAACGAUGAGUGCUAAGUGUUAGGGGGCUUCCGCCCCUUAGUGUUGCAGCUAACGCAUUAAGUAUUCUCCCUGGGGAGCACGGUCUCACGACUGAAACUCAAAGGAAUUGACGGGGGCCCGCACAAUCGGUGGAGCAUGUGGUUUAAUUCCAAGCAACGCGAAAAACCUCACCCAGUCCUG
rnacentral:rRNA from 1 species